CCAGACUCCUACGGGAGGCAGCAGUGGGGAAUAUUGGACAAUGGGGGCAACCCUGAUCCAGCAAUUCUGUGUGCACGAUGAAGGUUUUCGGAUUGUAAAGUGCUUUCAGCAGGGAAGAAGGAAGUGACGGUACCUGCAGAAGAAGCGACGGCUAAAUACGUGCCAGCAGCCGCGGUAAUACGUAUGUCGCAAGCGUUAUCCGGAAUUAUUGGGCAUAAAGGGCAUCUAGGCGGCCAGACAAGUCUGGGGUGAAAACUUGCGGCUCAACCGCAAGCCUGCCCUGGAAACUGCCUGGCUAGAGUGCUGGAGAGGUGGACGGAACUGCACGAGUAGAGGUGAAAUUCGUAGAUAUGUGCAGGAAUGCCGAUGAUGAAGAUAGUUCACUGGACGGCAACUGACGCUGAAGUGCGAAAGCUGGGGGAGCGAACAGGAUUAGAUACCCUGGUAGUCCCAGCCGUAAACGAUGAUUACUGGGUGUGGGCAUGAAGAGUGUCCGUGCCGAAGCAAAUGCGAUAAGUAAUCCGCCUGGGGAGUACGGCCGCAAGGCUGAAACUCAAAGGAAUUGACGGGGGCCCGCACAAG
rnacentral:rRNA from 1 species